CUAACUCUUGCAAAAUACAAAAUAAUUGCUUCUUAGAGUACAAUCCUCUCAUUGCAUUCAUCAUCUAAGGAUCAACAAAAGUAUCCAAGUAGCAUCAUGGGGCAUAUCAACAGGUAGAUCUUCUUCCUUUAAAUCAUUUGGGGGAGAUGGAUUGGGGUGAGUUACAUGAAACUCAGUAGGUAAAAUAGUAUUAAAUCCAUAGCAUUAAUGUUUUAAAAGUUCAUUAGUGCAACCGGUGAAAUACGAUUUAUCAUUUCAAACAUUUGUUUACAUAAUAGAGAUUGUUGAAAAUUUCAUAACACAAUUUCAGUUUAUUUUAGAAAACUGCUAAAAAUAUCAUAGUAAUAGUCAACUUUAGUUUUAUUUAAAUAACAACUUUAGUCUAUCCGUAAUAGUAUAAUCAGACACAAAGAAAACGAAGUUAUUCUAGGGCAAAUCAUAAUUCAAUCAGUAACCUUAUAGCUAGAUAAUUUUGACCAUCCCAAUUAUUUUGACUCAAUUAGGUUUCCUUUAUUUAGAGACUUCAUGCGAAGCUGUCUAAACCUAUAUCAAUAGAGGGCAUGAGGGAUUCGCGACUACCACUAUGAAUAGAAAACAAUUAGGUUCACGAUAUGGUAAUUCAGUAAGAUUCUAUGAUGACGGUAUUACUUUGCCAUUGUGACCCCUACGAUCAAUCACAAUCCACUCUCAUCAGAAGGAAGGCCAAUACGAUUCUCAUUCGCAGGGAGUGGUUUCGCUAGAAUCAGUGAGCAAAAAAUUAACGGUAACCCCUCUGUGAUAAUUGUUAAAUGAAUUUAGGAAUUUU
rnacentral:lncRNA from 1 species